rnacentral:lncRNA from 1 species
UAGAGAGAGAGAGAGAGAGAGAGAGAGAGAGAGAGAGAGAGAGGUAGGUACGGUNNNNNNNNNNNNNNNNNNNNAGAGAGAGAGAGAGGGUUUUGGAAGCCUGGGAAUCCAAAGCUGGGGAAUGUUUUUGAGAGGAGCAAAUGCUAGAUGUCAGGCUGCCAUGCAAGUGGGCAUGGUGCGUGGUUGGGAGGAUAUUGCUAGGCAUAUCCAUCCCCCAGCAAAUGGAGAUUACAGAUAGUUGAAGUCGUAUGAUUAGGUGUGACUAAUGGGGACUCUGUGUUGUUUUAUAUUGGUAUGCGUAGGUCAAGAGAGAAAGGGGAGGACGUAAGAAUUGUAGAUGGGAGACUUAGGCAAUUGUAUUAAUGGCAGUGCUUUAUUAAAGAAGUUUGAAAAAAAUGGGAGGAGAUGGUGCCUAUAGGGAAGAACCAAAGGAAGCUGGCAACGGCCAAAUGAAUUUUACAGUGUAUGCUUAAGACUUUGGGUGAAGCAAAGUGUGGAUAUCAAAACAAUUUCAGUGAACAAUAGUAUCAUCAGAUAAUGGCUUUUUAUAAUGUUUGAGAUGCAUUAUAUUAACUGCCAUUUAGUGCAAAAUGUAUGACUUGAAAUUUCUGGCAGCACCUCAAACAUUAUCCACCAUUAAAUAUAUUUCUGCGAGCUGCAUAACUAUGACUUUCUAGCUUGUCGCAUGGGCUCAUGUUGUAAUCGCCGCCAGCAAGCUACUUUCAAUAAUGCAGUCAGUAUAGCAUUCAGUGCAGCAUGGUGACAUCAAAUGAUUAAAUAGCUAAAUUUAAAGGGUAGCUUGACUAUUGUAACACAGUCUGUUGGAGGGACCAUCAUUCAUGGUAACUCGGGUAAAGACAUUUGAAAUUGGGAGGUCAAGCUGUAUCCCUUCCAACGUGUUAUACUGAUCCUAUUGUGUUCUCUCUUAUACUAUCUCCCUAUCAUCUUAUUGUUCACCUUUUCUGUUUUAGCCCCGUCCUGCUGCAAAAAGGUGGGCAGGACGUAAACAUGAUUUGAUAGAAAUGCACCAGUAAAAAACAAUGACGAGAGUAAGAUUUAUCAGGCCCAUUUUUUCUGGAGGCAGAAGGUAAUGGUUAUUUGCCGUCUGCAUCUUGUCAGUAAAUGCAAUCUUAUUUUAUUUUCUUAUUUAGAAAGUUUGUUGGUGGACUGUUAAAUUACAAAGAGCUGAUGUUCCUUUGAACCUUUCGU